rnacentral:rRNA from 1 species
UGGGGAAUCUUGCGCAAUGGGCGAAAGCCUGACGCAGCCAUGCCGCGUGAGUGAUGAAGGCCUUAGGGUUGUAAAACUCUUUCACCGGGGACGAUAAUGACGGUACCCGGAGAAGAAGCCCCGGCUAACUUCGUGCCAGCAGCCGCGGUAAUACGAAGGGGGCUAGCGUUGCUCGGAAUUACUGGGCGUAAAGGGCGCGUAGGCGGAUCAGCAAGUUGGGGGUGAAAGCCCGGGGCUCAACCUCGGAAUUGCCUUCAAAACUGCUGAUCUAGAGUACGGGAGAGGUGUGUGGAACUCCGAGUGUAGAGGUGAAAUUCGUAGAUAUUCGGAAGAACACCAGUGGCGAAGGCGACACACUGGCCCGUUACUGACGCUGAGGCGCGAAAGCGUGGGGAGCAAACAGGAUUAGAUACUCUGGUAGUCCACGCUGUAAACGAUGAUUGCUAGUUGUCGGCAGGCAUGCCUGUCGGUGACGCAGCUAACGCAUUAAGCAAUCCGCCUGGGGAGUACGGUCGCAAGAUUAAAAACUCAAAUGAAUUGACGGGGUCAUAGCUGUUUCCU